GAAGGUAUAGUUUAGUGGUAGAGUGCAUGCUUAGCAUGCACGAGGACCUGGGUUCUAUCCCCAGUCCCUCUA
rfam:Camelus ferus unplaced genomic scaffold scaffold1244, whole genome shotgun sequence.